ACACCUCAACUCUUCAUGGUUUUCCAUGAUGAGCUUGGACUUUGGGGGUUUUGCUGGCCUACAGUCAGCUCCUCUAAAACAAAUCAGCUCACCAGUGUUUGGCGGGUAUCGCAGGUGUGAUAACUAUCUACGCUUGUGGUUUCCCACCAGGUAACCUUCAGUGGUGGAGGUUCACUGGGGCUCACAGACAUGUCUCUCCUCAGUGAGGACAGCCCUUUGAAU
rnacentral:misc_RNA from 1 species